CUACGGGAUGCAGCAGUGAGGAAUAUUGCGCAAUGGGCGAAAGCCUGACGCAGCGACGCCGCGUGAAGGAUGAAGGUCUUCGGAUUGUAAACUUCUGUUAAGUGGGAAGAAAGGUUUGUUUUUAAUAGAAACAAAAGAUGACUGUACCAUUAGAGAAAGCACCGGCUAACUUCGUGCCAGCAGCCGCGGUAAUACGAGGGGUGCAAGCGUUAUUCGGAAUCAUUGGGCGUAAAGGGUGCGUAGACGGUUUAUUAAGUCAACUGUUAAAUUCUCCGGCCUAACUGGAGAUCAGCGGUAGAAACUGGUAAACUUGAGGUUGGAAGAGAGAAGUGGAAUUCUCGGAGUAGCGGUAAAAUGCGUAGAUCUCGAGAGGAACACCAAUGGCGAAGGCAGCUUCUUGGUCCAAAUCUGACGUUGAGGCACGAAAGCGUGGGGAGCAAACAGGAUUAGAUACCCCUGUAGUC
rnacentral:rRNA from 1 species